CCUAAGGUAGCGAAAUUCCUUGUCGGGUAAGUUCCGACCUGCACGAAUGGCGUAAUGAUGGCCAGGCUGUCUCCACCCGAGACUCAGUGAAAUUGAACUCGCUGUGAAGAUGCAGUGUACCCGCGGCAAGACGGAAAGACCCCGUGAACCUUUACUAUAGCUUGACACUGAACAUUGAGCCUUGAUGUGUAGGAUAGGUGGGAGGCUUUGAAGUGUGGACGCCAGUCUGCAUGGAGCCGGCCUUGAAAUACCACCCUUUAAUGUUUGAUGUUCUAACGUUGGCCCCUUACCGGGGUUGCGGACAGUGUCUGGUGGGUAGUUUGACUGGGGCGGUCUCCUCCUAAAGAGUAACGGAGGAGCACGAAGGUUGGCUAAUCCUGGUCGGACAUCAGGAGGUUAGUGCAAUGGCAUAAGCCAGCUUGACUGCGAGCGUGACGGCGCGAGCAGGUGCGAAAGCAGGUCAUAGUGAUCCGGUGGUUCUGAAUGGAAGGGCCAUCGCUCAACGGAUAAAAGGUACUCCGGGGAUAACAGGCUGAUACCGCCCAAGAGUUCAUAUCGACGGCGGUGUUUGGCACCUCGAUGUCGGCUCAUCACAUCCUGGGGCUGAAGUAGGUCCCAAGGGUAUGGCUGUUCGCCAUUUAAAGUGGUACGCGAGCUGGGUUUAGAACGUCGUGAGACAGUUCGGUCCCUAUCUGCCGUGGGCGCUGGAGAACUGAGGGGGGCUGCUCCUAGUACGAGAGGACCGGAGUGGACGCAUCACUGGUGUUCGGGUUGUCAUGCCAAUGGCACUGCCCGGUAGCUAAAUGCGGAAGAGAUAAGUGCUGAAAGCAUCUAAGCACGAAACUUGCCCCGAGAUGAGUUCUCCCUGAGACUUAGAGUCUCCUGAAGGAACGUUGAAGACGACGACGUUGAUAGGCCGGGUGUGUAAGCGCAGCGAUGCGUUGAGCUAACCGGUACUAAUGAACCGUGAGGCUUAACCUU
rnacentral:rRNA from 1 species